rnacentral:hammerhead_ribozyme from 1 species
AUCCAGCUGACGAGUCCCAAAAUGGGACAAAACAUGCAUCCUGGAU